UACAGAGGGUGCGAGCGUUAAUCGGAAUUACUGGGCGUAAAGCGCGUGUAGGCUGCUCUGCAAGUCGGGUGUGAAAGCCCCGGGCUCAACCUGGGAAGUGCACUCGAAACUGCAGAGCUCGAGUCCUGGAGAGGAAGGCGGAAUUCUCGGUGUAGAGGUGAAAUUCGUAGAUAUCGAGAGGAACACCGGUGGCGAAGGCGGCCUUCUGGACAGUGACUGACGCUGAGACGCGAAAGCGUGGGGAGCAAACAGG
rnacentral:rRNA from 1 species